rnacentral:rRNA from 1 species
AAAUUGAAGAGUUUGAUCAUGGCUCAGAUUGAACGCUGGCGGCAGGCCUAACACAUGCAAGUCGAACGGUAGCACAGAGAGCUUGCUCUCGGGUGACGAGUGGCGGACGGGUGAGUAAUGUCUGGGAAACUGCCCGAUGGAGGGGGAUAACUACUGGAAACGGUAGCUAAUACCGCAUAACGUCGCAAGACCAAAGAGGGGGACCUUAGGGCCUCUUGCCAUCGGAUGUGCCCAGAUGGGAUUAGCUUGUAGGUGAGGUAACGGCUCACCUAGGCGACGAUCCCUAGCUGGUCUGAGAGGAUGACCAGCCACACUGGAACUGAGACACGGUCCAGACUCCUACGGGAGGCAGCAGUGGGGAAUAUUGCACAAUGGGCGCAAGCCUGAUGCAGCCAUGCCGCGUGUAUGAAGAAGGCCUUCGGGUUGUAAAGUACUUUCAGCGGGGAGGAAGGGAGUGAGGUUAAUAACCU